rnacentral:lncRNA from 1 species
UGUGAUUUGUUGUUAUAAUAAAUGCUAGAGCAGGGCCCCUUCCCUAAUGAAAGAUACACCAUUAUGGAUUAUGAGGCACUUUAUCCCUCCAUCCACCAAGCCCCAGCGGCGCUUAUGCUUUAUCGCUUUAUCAACACUGACCGACAUGGAACACCUACCGGAGAAUGAUGUCCAUGCACAUACUAUUAGGGAGAUUUGCCACCUCGUCACUUAUAGUUCAUAUUACAUUCUCCAAGGAUGUUACUAUUUACAAACAACGGUUGCGUCGUUUGGAAUGGAGAGCGGGUGUCACAGGACGGGUGCUGCCUGCUUGAAGGCGUCACGGAUGAUGCCUUGGGCCUGGGGCUGAAGCUGGAGCGGGGUUCCUCGGAGGGCUUCCAUUUUCUGGGCCUCCAGGUGAAUACUGAGAAUGGUGACUGUCACUAAAAUAUAUAAAGGACCUACGUAUA